rnacentral:misc_RNA from 1 species
UUCAAGAGAAAUAUUAUGCACAACUUUUAAUUCGUCAUCCACAAAGUUUCAACAAUCAAAAUCCACACUCGCUCUAGAUGUAAGAUGGACAAAAUUGAAGAUGAAAAAAACUAGUAAUGGAACAACAAAAACAUUUCUGAAUUCCAAUACCAGCUACAAAACAAACCUAUCAAUGCCAAAUCAGUGCUAAUUACUCUUCUAAAGCCUACCAAAAUUGUCCCUGCACUGUAUUCAGCAAUCAUAACAGUUGAAGCAAAACUCAGUACAAAUAAAUAAUAAAAGAAAAAAAAAACUUUGACUACUAACAAAUUCAAAUGCUCUCUAGUCUCUAGUCCUUCGCAAUUCUCAGCAUCACAUGAGCAAGACGCCAACUUUAAUUCCCUUCUCAGUGGCAUGCCCAUUUUCAGAGGCUUUAUCAUUCUCAUUUGUCUCAGCACUGCACGCAGAGGAAACACUGAUUUCACAAAGUUUAGCAGUUCAUCUCAAUUUCACAGCAGAAUAUACAUAAAUCAGACACAAUAGACAAGCACCUAAGCUAUUUUCUUCCUUGUUUACUUCAAAAUCAUUUUCACCACAGUAACAUCUGAGAUGGACAAAGGAUGGAACAAAUAAAUAUAAAAAAUGAAAAAGCAGAAACUGCAAGACAAUAGGGCGUAUACUUUUUCCUGGGGUAAUCAGAAUAAUCACAGUAAUUUUAGAGGGCCAAAAUCCAUACGAGUUUAUCUAUCAUACAUGACUAGGUGAUCCAAAUUGAGCCACAACAAAAAUAAAUAAUAUACAAACACCCACCCCCGCAUAGUACAGCCUCCAUAAAAUUAUUAUACGCUAGCAAAUAGAUUUUCAGAGUUGAGACCUCAUUCAAAUUAUUGUCUCAUGGAUUUGUAAAAACCAACUAGGAGUUUUAAGAAAAACACUGUGGAAUACCAGGGACUUAGGGAGGAAGGGCAAGGAUGCAACAAAAGGCACCGAAUAGAAAUACCUGAAAACUCUAAUACUCUCAUGUCAUGCGUAUAGAAAAAAGAGUUGGAAAACCCAAGUGACAAAGGAUACUUCUCUACAAUUUUGAGAAACUCAAGUCCCUUGAAGAACCCUCAAAACCUAGUGAGAUCAGAAACAACAUCCCUCCAGUGUCCCAUAUAAAGCUAACAAUACCUCCUUCAAAACAGAGUUAGCAACUCACAACCAGUAAUUGUGUGUAUAUCACUUCUUAGAAAAGAAUUAAGCGAUAAUAAAUCAAUACAUCGUUCCAAUUGCCAAAACAUAUACAAAUGAGCUAAAUUUUUCAUAAUAAAUAACCAAUCAAAGAGCAAUCAACAAACCUCUGAGGACGAGAAUUGGAAUCAGCUGCAUCAGGCUUCCUCCAGCUCCUUUCUACACGGUCAGUGCCAGAACCUCCACGACCAUUCCCAAAGCUCCACCUCCCAAUUGAGGUCGAAUUACCUCUCUCACCUUUUCCAAUUUCUUUCUUACAAUUGAUGUUCACAGACUGCAGCUUCUCAUCAAUCUCUUUCCAGUCCUUUCCUUUCUCAGCUAACACCUCCUCUCUUGGCCUCGCAUCUCCAAAUGGGCUCGAACCUUUGGGUUUCGCUGCUGCGCCAUUCUCGUUAUUUACAGGAACUGUACGUGGCUGCAAUAUAAGCUUUGGCCUUGAACUCGCUGUUCCAUUAACCUCCUCCUUCUUCCUUCCCCAGUUAUCGGAAUCUGCUGCAGCACCACCGCUAUUAGACCCGUUUCUAUCUCUGGACAACGAAUCGAAACUCCCCCUCCUCUCAAAUCCAUCUUUAGUAGCACCAUAUCUCCGCGCCUCUGUUGGCUUAUUGGCUACCCAGCUAUCCAACUCAUCGGCUUUUGACAGAGAAUCAAAAAAAGAUCCCCUUUCUCUCCUUUCGUAGCCAUUACCCACCGUUGAUUUUUUCGAUUUAGACCAAUCAUCAGUCUCAUCAGCACGCGAAGGCGCUAAAUCUCUGGUCGUAUCCCUAUCUCUACUAGAAAACCUAGAAUGACCACCACCCCAUCUCGAGUUAGACGAAUCGUCACCGUUACGGUUGCUCAUACCAUGCGAUUUGAAGCCGCCACCGAGCCUAGACUGGUGGAGCUCUUCAGCAGAACGCUGGCGGGGGCCAGUUGGGAGAUUGAGGAGAUCAUCAUGAGCAAGGCCUCUAUAUUGGGUGGGCUGGUCUGACUUGCCGGAGUCAUAGGCGGUGAAUUCAGCUAAAGAUAGGGCUUGUUUCUUCUUCUUCUUCUUGAGGUUUUUGGAGGCGGCGGCUAGAGAGGGAAAUUCAGACUCACCAGAAGAAUCAUCGAUUUUAUGGGGAGAAUCGAAUUGUUGUUGACGGAGUUCGUCCUCGUGUUCUUCGGCGUCGAGAGCCCACGCACCAGGUUUGCCCCAAGGAGAAGACGCAGUUGCCGCCAUGUUGAUUUUAAGUUGUUUAGUUUCUCUCUGGAACGUAAAGAAGAAAACAGGCUGCGUGCGUGUGAGCUUGCG